rnacentral:rRNA from 1 species
UACGAAGGGGACUAGCGUUGUUCGGAAUUACUGGGCGUAAAGCGCACGUAGGCGGAUUUGUAAGUCAGGGGUGAAAUCCCGGGGCUCAACCUCGGAACUGCCUUUGAUACUGGGUGUCUUGAGUGUGAGAGAGGUAUGUGGAACUCCGAGUGUAGAGGUGAAAUUCGUAGAUAUUCGGAAGAACACCAGUGGCGAAGGCGACAUACUGGCUCAUUACUGACGCUGAGGCUCGAAAGCGUGGGGAGCAAACAGG